GUUGUCAUAAGAAAUAUUUGAAAUCCAAUCCCACAUGUAGAAUUUGGCACUGUGAUACAUCAAGAGGAUAAUGAUGCCCUGGAAAAAGAGGGGCACCUUUCAGACCCCCAGUGUUUUAUAACCAGGAUGAAGAUUAAUCAAGGUUUAUAUGGCGUAAAUAAUUUACAGGAGCAAAAGGCCCUUUGAAGGCUCUGAAGAGGGCAGUGAACCCAAUGCAAAGAGGCAGCACCUUUCAAAGCACUGCGGCAAACCCUUCCUGGUCGCUUCAGUUCCUCCUUCCUCCAGCACUGGGGUUCCCCCAGUUCGUUCAGUGACCAUCAGCGACCGUUCCGACGGCAGCGACCUAGACGAUUCGCUGCUCGAGUUAUCGGAUGGCGAAAGCGAAGGCUCUCUUUCUGAACUCACCCAGGAGGAUGAGGAUAAACUCUUGUACGGUUCAGACAGCGAUCUGGAGACCUCAGGUUCUAAAGCAUUUAUUGCGAACGUGCAGCUUGCUCGGGUUCAAAGUGUGACCAUAACCGUAGUGGCUCCAAAUGGCCCUCCGGACUGCGCCAGGGAAGAUGAUGCUUUCCAGAAGGACCCUCAGAAUCCAGAAAGUGACGUAAACACCAGCUCUCUAAGCCAAGCUGGACUUGGUUUGAGUUCGGACUGUUCUGCGAUUGCAGAAGGUACACCAGUUGCAAGAUCGCUGUUAGGUCUGCAGAAAGCGGGCGAUGCGCCUGGGAUAAGAGGUGAACCUGCUCAGACAGUGAGCAGCAGCUCUUGGGCCACAAGCCUGCUUGCCACUGGAAACCACGCUGAGGAGCGGAUCCCCNCAAAUAAAACAGAGCUAGUAAGCGAAACUGGAAGCAACCCGCUGUGCAGGACCACGAGAGAACCUGCUUCUUCGGACACCCACCUGAAGUCUCCACCANCCGCCUCCAACUCUGCCAGCGACCAGCGAGAGGCUCAUGUGGGAGAUGCCAGUGGUGCAGAGCGAAAUCGGCCACCAGUGCCUAACUCUAGUUCUGUAAGGCCUAGGACGCGGAUAAACAUCAACGAGAGCGAGCUUGAAAUUGACAAGGAAAAAUACAUCCAAGCUGUACUUGCCCACGCUCGUGGUAGUGAGCAUAUUUUAGGUGAAGUCAAAGAGGUGCAUGCGCUGAUGUGGAAGGUUCAUCACGAGAGUCGCUCUCAGGAUCCCAGGCCUAGGCACCCAACAGAUCUGACUAAGAGAAACUACAAGCAAAGAAAUGACAAGGCAAAAAACAAGCUCACCCUGCAUCAAUGGUUCGAUAAGUGCGGACCUAACUACUGCCGGUUUGAGAACAUCCCCAGUCACUUUAAGCGCAGCCCUGUUCCGAAUUAGAAGUCGCCUUCCCCCGAAACUCUGCUGCAUCUGAUCUGCACUUUAAAA
rnacentral:lncRNA from 1 species